AGUAACACGUGGGUAACCUGCCUUAUAGUGGGGGAUAGCCUUUCGAAAGGAAGAUUAAUACCGCAUAAGAUUGUAGUAUCGCAUGAUAUAGCAAUUAAAGGAGCAAUUCGCUAUAAGAUGGACCCGCGUCGCGUUAGCUAGUUGGUGAGGUAAUGGCUCACCAAGGCGACGACGCGUAGCCGACCUGAGAGGGUGAUCGGCCACAUUGGGACUGAGACACGGCCCAGACUCCUACGGGAGGCAGCAUG
rnacentral:rRNA from 1 species